rnacentral:rRNA from 1 species
UACAGAGGAGCCAAGCGUUGUCCGGAUUGACUGGGCGUAAAGCGCACGCAGGCGGCACCGCGCGUGGGGUGUGAAAUCUGGCCGCUUAACGGCCAGGCGCCAUCCCAUACGGCGGAGCUGGAGUGAUGCAGAGGUCGAUGGAAUUGCCGGUGUAGUGGUGAAAUGCGUAGAGAUCGGGAGGAACACCAGCGGCGAAGGCGGCGACCUGGAUAGAUACUGACGCUGAGGUGCGAAAGCGUGGGGAGCAAACAGG